GACGAACCGUCCUAACGUUGUUCGGAAUCACUGGGCUUAAAGGGCGCGUAGGCGGCUUGCCAAGUCCGGGGUGAAAUCCUGCAGCUUAACUGUAGAAGGGCCUUGGAUACUGGCGAGCUCGAGGGAGGUAGGGGUAUGUGGAACUUCCGGUGGAGCGGUGAAAUGCGUUGAUAUCGGAAGGAACGCCGGUGGCGAAAGCGACGUACUGGACCUCUUCUGACGCUGAGGCGCGAAAGCUAGGGGAGCAAACGGG
rnacentral:rRNA from 1 species